rnacentral:sRNA from 2 species
CCGCCUUUUUCCCUUCCUUCCUUCAUUCUUUUUUCUUUCUUCGCUCUUGCUCUUGUCCUCCUUGGAAAGUUAAAAAAAACAAAUCCCACACUGUACCUUGCAAACCCCCGCCAUGAAUCAAGGAAAACUCGAACACACAUGGCACCUACCACCCCAAGCUCCUUAGUCGAAACUCAGCUUAGCAGGCCCUGGUUAUAUACGGGACGGGAGGACGGUGGCGUUGGAAACCCCCAUGUUCCUCCCAAGAAAAUACUUGAUGAUGACGUAAGGAGACCAUACAGUCACCCAAGUUAACUAGUUAACUAAAAUAUACUCAACUUGAAUUUUGGCUUCAACCGCGGCGGCACGAGCAUCCAAAAACUCAAAACGGGG